AUAAAAGAAAGUUAAAUUAAAUACAAUAUUGACAAGUGAAAAAAAACUAUCCAUUUCUGCAUCAGAUUUAUUUGGGCUACUGUCUGGAAUGGCUGCAGUAUAUGAUCAUAUCUGUCUUUUGAAGGCAGUGUGUGUUGAAGAUUAUUCACAUAUCGAUCGUUAAAUAUGCUCUUUUUUAUUUAUUUCUCGCUUUUAUUGCUAUUCACAAUUUUUUUUUUUUUUUUUUUGCAGCCCAUGGGUAGAUCUUCAUAAUCUUUUUUUAUUCUGACAAACAUACUCAAUAUGAGUACUUACAAUAUGAGCAAAAUAGCGCAGUAGCCCUAUAUGAGUGUUGUAAAAUUUGCCAAAAGUGAAUAAAAUAGUACACCAUUUGAGGAAGUGGUUAAUAUAAUCAGAUGUUACUGAAAAUUGUGCUGCUUUAUGAUUUCACAUGGUGACAAACUUUGCCUUAUUAUCAUUAAUUAAGAUAGGAUCACAUUUACCACUCUGUCUUACUAUUCUGCCUUGCUAAAAAGAAAACGUAUUCGAACAAACUGCGCACUGGAUUAUAAUGAAAGAAAACCGCAUUUCCGUUAUCCUACUGUACCGAUAUAUUUUCCAGCAUUUAUUAUACAUUUACUGUAGGCUCCCAGAUAGCACACAUACAUGUGGCCGACGUCGGGCUCAUAUCUGUAACAUCUAAUAAGGAUCGGCCAGGCAUAGGCGCGUGUCUUCAGUCAGUGCUCUAUUUCCAGCUCGUCGGCUUUGGGUCGGAUCACAACUGCAGGCCGAUGCCGCGCUUAUCUGUUUGCGCGUGACCAUUCAUCUCUGCAACCGACGAGAGAAAUGGCGACUCCGGCGACAUCUGUGGUUUCCAGGUUAAGGAAGGUCUUACAGGUGUGGAACGGCAUGAGGAUGAGAUGUGAUCCCCAGCGUUUGGCGCUGAGAUUCUUCAGGACAAAGGCCUUGAUGCCAUGAAGAUGCCCAUAACUGACAGGCUUUCCUGUGUAAACCAUCAUAUUUAUCCAAAUGAGGGUCUCUGGGAUCCCCAGCUGAAGGCAUGAAGACAUCAGAUCUUGGCCUGGACAGAUGUACCAACAGUACACCACACCGACCUCUGCUUUUGCAUGGAUGGCUGAUUACUACCAUGUUCUGAGAGGGUAUUACUAUAGCAAAACUGAGCACCUGUGACACUGGGAUUUCUAGUUGUAAAGAAUAAUCACACAAUGUUUUUUAGAAGUUGCAAACUUUUCUCUCUCUUACAAACACAACAGUUAAACCUUUUCAAAUUCUUUUCUGGUGGUGCACAAGUCCUAUUCUUCGAAACAGAAAUUAAGAUAUUCAUAUGCUCACAUUUAAGCUGCGGACACACGACUUUGAGCGUGCAAAAUUUCUUCAGACACUGUAACUGGCGUGAUAUGACGUCUGCAGAGUCUUUUUAUAAACAUGAAUUAACAAAUAGUAUAUUCAAAAUAUAAAAAUAUACAGUCUACUCAUUUUUUUUUUUUAAUUUAGCCAAGAGGUCACACCUACAUGUAGCGAAUUUGUACUCUUUACACAUAGUCGUGUGAUGUGAAUUCGCAGGUCAGAGUUCCAAACCAAACUUUUUGCAUGAGCUUGCGUUUCUGGUCUCCUGCAUUUGUGUGCGUAUGAAUGGAGGUCAAUGGAAUGAAAAGCGUAGUGUGACCGCACCUUUAUUCUGCAGUUGCGGCACACCUGUAUCAGAAGUGUGAAGUCAUGGACAGAUUUUAUUUGUGAACUGAUAUGCGAGAUCUCACAUAUGACAUAUCAGUAUGUGACAUCCCACUCAAACACAUGCUCUAUCCAGUGAAAAACAUGUUCUUGUCGUUAUUAAUCAAUCAGUAAUCAACACAGCACCACCCCGAAAUUGCCUUGCACUGUAGAAUUAUGGUUUCGGCAAGAAAUGAAAAAUAGCCAAUUAUUUAUUAUAAAUGCUACUAUUUUACAAUUAAUAUUUAAGACUGUUAGAGAGGGAUAGAAGCCAUUUUUAUGGAUGAAGGGAUUUUUUCAUUACAGGUCAUUUAUUUGAAUGAUCAGCAAAAAUUUGAGCCUAUGAGUUUAAUAAUUUGAAUUCGUAGAAUAAGAUUAGUACAAAUUUAACUGUUGUGUUUGUGAGAGAGAAAAGAAAACUACAAGUUUGCAAAUCCUAAUACAUUUUCUCAGUGACUACUGAAAUAUUCUGUACAAAUUCCACUGUCACAGGUGCUCAGUUUUGCUACAAUAAUACUAUAUAUUAUACAGCACAUGCAUAAUUUGAGACAAUAUUCUGAUUCUCAUUUUACCAAUGGCAAACCACAUCUAUCUUAUUAACAACUAUUCAUUUUGUGUAUAAUCAAUAUCUAAACAAGUGAUAUUUAGUUGUUAACGAGGGAUUGGCUGGACUCUGCUGACCCAAUCAGUAUUUCUCGUCCAAUGGUCAUACUUUAAUUUUCCGGUUUUUCUAGUAUUGCAUCCUUCUCAUGGGCAUUUCAUGACUUUUCAGUGUGGGUUAAACCUAUUUUUUGGCCCAUAAUAUGUAUUUUUUAAAGAGUAAUUAAAAAUAGUUUUGUCUAUGCUAUUGAAAUUGUGGGUUACAUCUUUGUCACCUUUUUCACCCAAGGAGUUUACAUUCCUGAUAAUACAAGAGUGAGGAACUUACAUUUUAAUUACAAAGGAAAACCAAUUCAUCUGUUAUGUUCUUCUGUCCUCCAUUUUCAAGGGUAAGAUUUCUUUAUAAAUCAUCUACUCACCCAUAUGUCUUUAUUUUUUGUGGAACACAAAAGGAGAGAGUCACUUAGUCUCCGUCACAAUUAGAAAAGAAACUGAUAGGGAAUUGUGACUGAGGCUGUCAGUCUCUUGAUGUUCUGCCUCACAUCUCCUUUAGUGCUCCAAUAAAUUUACUAAAUGUAAUUUUCUGUAUACCUCUGCGUGUAUCUGAAUGUAAAUGCCUUCUCUGUUAGUCACAUUGACGGGUUGUAUAUAGGAGGAUGUAUGCCUUAAACAUGCAGGCUAUCUGUAACUGUAUUUUGUAAAUAUUAAAACAAUGUUAACUGAA